rfam:Nematostella vectensis strain CH2 x CH6 NEMVEscaffold_251_Cont20869, whole genome shotgun sequence.
GACUCGGUGGCGCAAUGGUAGCGCUUCUGACUCCAGAUCAGAAGGUUGCGUGUUCAAAUCACGUCGGGGUCA